rfam:Dipodomys ordii contig_45177, whole genome shotgun sequence.
GGGAAUGUGGCUUAGUGGUAGAGCGCUUACCUUGCAUGCAUGAAGCUCUGAGUUCGAUUCCUCAGCACCACCG